UGGCGCGUCAGAUUCAGUACUUCUCAAUCAUCGCUGUGUUCUUUGUCGGCUGUCUCGCUAUUAAUUUCGAGAGUGUUUGCAACCCAACAGGAUUUUUGUAGUGCGAGUCAUCGCAAUAGAUGACAGCACCCUGAGAUGUGGGGACAUAUUUCUAGUUGGUGGAGACGAAGUUACCAUCUAUUUGGGAGAUGAAGAAUGCAUCAUAACACCGCCCCACAUAACCAUUACAAGCACGGAAAAGAUUAUCUCAGAGCCUAGAACUCCCAUGACCACAUCCAUAAAAGUUCCCCAGGUUAGUUCACACAAACAGAUUCAUCAUAUUUAUUAUGUGCAUUUUUCCACACAACUUUAUUAGUAGUCUUCAUGCAGAUAAAUUCAUUGUAACAAGUCAUUGAAAUUCCUUAUUAGUUAUUUUUAUCAUAGUAUGGUAUUCAUUGAAAUGAUUUGAUGUCUAUUUAAGAAGAUAAAAUAUAUUUGAAAGCAAGAAAAAGUAUGUA